AAAAGAUGAAAUUAUACAUGUAGUGUAAUUAAAAGAAAAUGAGGGGGUAAUUAUUUGAAAUAAUGAAACCUUGAUUAUUAUAAUAAUUAAACAAAUAUUAGUGGACUAUAUAAAGCCAUAAAAUGCCAAAGUCCACCACUUCAAUCAUCUUCUUCUUCACUUCACUAAAGUGGCCGAAACAAAGCUCCCAAGUUCUUCCAUGGAGUUCCAUCAUCCAAGCUUAAAAUCACCCUCCAUUUUCAACCAAAAAUCAUAAGUCCCUUCACUAAAGUUUGUCCACACACUUUGGGAAGGCUAUAGACAGCAACAAGGAGUAGAAAUUUUGGAGUUUUACAAGCUUGAGAAUUUUGUGAUUCAAGGUUAGUGCUUUAACUUUCCACCUCUCUUCUUUAAAUCUUGAUUUGGGCUUAGGAUGAGUUGAUAUGCUAAGGAAAUUUGAAGAAAUUGAUGAGUAAUUAUAAGUCUUCAAUUCGGCAGCCUUGGUACUCUUGAGAGGUUGAUUAAUUUCUACAUGUAAAUGAUGAUUAGUGAAGUUGAUUAGGCUAAUUAUAUGUACUAGCAAAUUGAUGUCAUGUGUAUGUUUGAACUUGAUACUUUGAAGUAGGGUUUUGAAAUGAAUAUUGAGGAUUAGUGCAAAUGUUCAAUUCGGCAGCUUUGAGGUACUUAGGAGAUGGAUUAUUUCAUUAAAUUAAAUGGUGAUUUGUGAUGUUAAUAACUAAGCAAGUGAGGGCUAUAUAUUGAUUGAUGAAAAUAUUUAUACUAGAACAUUUAUU
rnacentral:misc_RNA from 1 species